UGCAGCAUAUAAAGCCUGCACUAAAAAAAUAUUUAAUGUUAAUAAUCUGAUACUUCAUCAAUCCCCUCUGGGAAAUUCUCUUAAUGCGUAGCCCGCUCCAGGGAGUUCAGAGCAGAAAGUGAGUUAGAGAGCAACACCUACAGUAUGGAGCUGUGAGAUAUUCAGUUUCUUCCUCCAGGAACCUCCAGUCAAAAUCAUGUCAUGGGGAAAUAAAGGUCUUGGGGCAUAUGUCAGAAAUGCUCUUUUCGCCUUGAAGAAUGAAAUAUAUAUGAGCCAAUGAACAAAUUUGACUGACAGAUGAGAAGCUUUGAAGAAAUGUUCCUGGUGGUGACAGCGGUGUUAGAUGCGGUUGGAUCAAUGUGAUGCUGCAAGUUCUGAUCCAUUAGGUGUGCGUCAUCCCAGAGGCACUGAGUCACUCAGCACUCCUUUCCACGACCAUACCAGGCAGCCAUGACAAAGAUGAGACAGGGAGAGCGCUGUCUUGGAGGUGACAGGGGGCUCCAAAUGACAAACAUGAAAAUGUCUGCAUCCUCUGCGACUGCCUGCUCAGGUCUCUCUCUGUCUGCAAGCACUUUUCUGCCUGUCCGUUUGCCUAUUUGCCUGUCGACUGUUUGCUCUGUGACUGUGUGCCUAUCUGUCAAUCUGUCUGUCUGUCUCUAGCCUGCAGUCUCCUGCACUUGUGACUCUAAAUGUAAUCUCAUUUCUGACUAUCCUGUCACUCCUCGGCCUGAGGAUUCAGCAGAGCAUAAAUAAUCAUAUACUAAAAAAGUUAACAGAAUAUCAUUACGGCAGUCACUUGCUGUGGCUCAAGGAAGGCAAUAUUUUAAUUAUCUAAUAGCAUGCACUACUUGUUUGAAAUUUAUAAUAUAUUUGUUGUAAUUAGUUAAGUGAUUUUGGAUUUCCUUUGACACACUCAAAGGGCAACACCACCAAAGCAGUUCUUACAAACAAUAGCUUUGUGAAGCAAAUUAUGAAAUACAACACACGUGUUUUACUUCAUACAUUUCAAUAACAGGGCAUGAUUUGAUUUGUGAAUAUUUUUAGAAUGAAUGUGCUAAGUCUUCUCCGGGCCCAGACUAAGGGAAACAAAUGAACACGUACUGUCGCCACAGUGUCUCACAUUGCCUUGUAAGUCACAGGUGACUUUGAUCUAAUAAGGAGAAGGUUGGGUAGCCAGCUAAGUGAAACAUCACUCCUGCGUCUGCUCUCUUGACCUAUUCGGGAGGGAGUUUGAGGGAGGGUGGGACAGACAAAGGGCACAGGGGCUGCAGCAAAAGAAGAUGGGCAUAGGUCAUUGCCUCUUUAGCAAUAGAGGCCGAGGUGGCAAAUUGAUGGGUUAAUGGAACAAGAAAGGAUAAGUCAUCCUGCAGAACAGAGUUAUGAAGGGCCUUAAGAGGGGCUGCAGGGAAAAUCAUUUAUGAGGACAAAGUGAGAUCAAACAUUUCAGAGUUGUAACUCUUCUAGUGUGCUGGAAAUUUAAUGCUGAUCAUUUAAAUGAAACAAAGGAAGAAAUUCAACAACUAUAACUACACCAUGGUGUUAUCUGUUACUAUUUUUGCCCUGGUACAUAUUUCAAAUUCAAUUAUUUGAAUCCACCUUUUCCAGUUUAUCUUACUUCUCAGGAACUCUAGCUGUAACUCUAGUUGUUUCACACACUCAGCACCCUUCUUCUAUUCUUGACAGAAUUUGAAAUGGAAUGUUUUCUGGAUAAUAUAAUCCAGUACACUGUGCCUGUAUUUAUAUAUGCAUGCUCAGAUGUGCAGCACUAUGUCUGCUUGCUAAGUGUGAACGCAGCGUAUGAAUUUCUACCAGCUGAAACGAUGCGGCAUGAUGGCAGGGCUCCCUGUUGCUUUUCUUUCCUCCCAUGACAUCCUGCUUUCCCUCUCCUCCUCCCACUAAACUCCUCCAAUGCUCAGUGCACGACUUAUGUUUCUUAUGUGGCGGCGGCCCAGAAAAACCAAGCCAGCAGGUCUGCCUUCACACAGCUGACCUGUGGCUGUGGUAUGCUAAUACAUUCGGAACUGCAACUAAAUCCAAUGACAUGUAGCACUAAAUCAAUGACUGAAACCAAUAAAAUCAUAUAAACAAACAGUUAUCAUUACAUAAAAUGGUCCAUACUUGAACAUACAUACAUAUUUGGUAUACUUGACAUAGUUACGAUAUGACAUCUACAAAAUACUCGUAGUCUUAAACACAUAAGUGUUUUUAUACUUUGCUCUAACCAUGAGAAUUAAGCUCAAAUUAACACAACCUCUUAACCUUUUAUAGCUUGACACAUACUGCAAAGAAGAAAAAGACAGUGUUGCUUUGAUAUUAUUAGCAAAUAUUAUGUUUGACAUGUUCACCAUUUUAGUUUAGCAUGAUAACAUUUGCUAAUUAGCACUAAACACAAGGCUGAUGGGAAAGUUAUUAGUUUUUCAGGUACUUUUCGGUCAUGAGCUGAAGUAUUGUAAAUAAAUUGACCUGCUGACACAGAGGAUCACCAAAGUUAUUAGAAUCAAUCUUCUGGGGACCAUGAAAGUC